CCUCCCUGGCGGUUGCGCGCUAUGUCCCCUCCUUUCGCGCUUGCGCGCGCCUUCCCCGCUCCUCGUGCCUCAUUUCUCUGCAGUUGGACGGCGGGCCUAUGGGGCUCGAGCCUGGAGCAAGCGACGGAGCCAUUGGGGUGCUGCGGUGGUGGUGGGGUCGGCGGCGGCGGUGACGGAGCAGGAGAAGGAGCGGGCCCCCGAGCACCGGGCCCUCUUCAACCCGGGUCCCUGGGCGAAGUACUCUGCCGUCCUUGCCUCCAGGCUGGAGUGUGGUGGCACAAUCCCUGCUCACUGCAAUCUCUGCCUCCUGGGUUCAACAAUUCUGCCUCAGCCUCCCAAGUAGCUAGGAUUUCAGAAUCCUUGCCCAGAGUCCAGGAUCACCUUCUCCUGGAUCACAGGAGUUGUCUUGAAUCUGCCUGUGCUGGCCAUGUUGUCUCAGAGACACCAACUCUGUCCCCCAAGUCCAUCACCUUGAAUGUGGUAAAGACAUGAGCCAUGAGCAGCUUAAGUAUCUGCAGAAGGCUUGGCCUGGGACAGCCAUGUACUGGACUGCUCUUGCUUUAGCUUCAGAUUUGGGAUGCCCAGUAUACAGGCCUUCAGUCAGACCCAGAUGGUGGAUGGAAAUCUGGGACAUCCAUGGUGCCAGCCACUAGGACAUCAGCAUAGGACCUUGUGACCCUGGUAGCAGGCUGUUUGGGUGGUCCAGGUGAUGGGAGAAAUUGUCUCAUGGUAGACAGAGCUUGGGUCUCCAUGGCUAAGCAUUGUACGGAAAUGGCCCGUGUCCAUGACCCAGUUGAAGGUCGUUGACAGGCAGAGGUGGGGUCCCUGUUUAUUACAUGGAGACAGAACUAGUAGGAUGGAUGGAUGGUUGGAGUGAUAAAUGAUAGAUUGGUAGAUGAUAGGUAGAUGAUAGUUGGAUAGAUAGUGGAUGGAUACAUGAUAGGUGGAUGGAUAGAUGAUAGAUGGAUGAUUGAUAGAUGAUGGAUGAGUGGAUGAUGGAUUGAGGGUGAGAGGGGAUUUACUAGGGAAACUGGAUCAUGUGAUUAUGGAGAAGUCCUAUGCUAGGCCAUCUGCAAGCUGGAGACCCGAGAAGUUGGUAGCAGGCUCAGGCAAGUUUGAAGAUCUCAGACCCAGGGAAGCUGAUGAUGGAAUUCUCAAGUCCACAACUAAAGGCCUGAGAACCUGGAAUGACUCAGGUAAGUCCCAGAGGCCAGUUCUGGAGUUCUGAUUUCCAGGGGCAGGAAAGGAUGACAUCCUGGCUGCAGAAGAGAAAUCACAUGAAUUUACCAUUUUUCUGACUUUUUCUUGUGUCUGGACCCUCUGCUGAUUGGGUGGUGCCCAGGAACAUGGGGUGAGGAUGGAUCCUCCUUAUUGAGUCCACUGAUUCGAAUGCCAGUCUCGUCUGGCACACACUCAGAAAUAACACUUGACCAGCCAUCCGCGUAUCCCUUAACCCUGUCAGGUUGACCCCUAGUGUCACCUAUCACCUGGAUUCCUUCAGCCUCACCUGCAGUGUUCUCCCUGCUAUGAAGGCAUUUGUAACAUGGAUUUCAGCAUUCCUCAUCAUCAACACCUCUGCUGAUUGCCUGGCUUGGCUUCCUUUCAUGGAAGAAGGAUGCCCACCUUUGUGUCAACUGGAGCUUGCCAGUGGAUGACAAGUAUUUGUUCAGCACCUGUGCAUUGUUUUAUGUACUGAGGAUACAGCAGCCCACCUCGAACUGACAUUCUAGUGGGAAAACAAAGAAAACUGGGAAUACAUAGCCAGCAGAAUUGGAAAACCAAAGAAACACCAAGGAAGAAAAGUCAUGGAAAAAGAAAAACAAAAAUAAAAAAGCAUUUUGGAAGUAGGCAGAAAUAUCAGCCUACAGGAAAAACAAAACUGGGAAGUGAAAUAAUUUCUCUCCAAGACUUGCCAGAUCUUGGUUUUGUGUAACUUCCAGUCCUAUGGCCAAACCUUUACUGUGCGAAAAGGCUUUGAUGGUUAAUUAAAAAAAAAAAAAAAAGAUGCUGGUUACCACAACAAUUGUCAGGUUUAUUAGGACAAACUCAAGGACUAACCUCAUUUCUAACAGUAACCUAAAAUGAGAGUUUAACUUAAACUUAUUAAUUUAGACAUUAAAAUAAUUAAUCUGACUAAUCUUAUUCAGACCUAUACCUUGAUCUAAGUGCUGCACAGAUAGCUCUAUCAAUCCAUACUGAGGAGCAAGAGAAAAGAUUUCAAAGCCAGAUAGGCUGACAGUCAAACUGUGGGUCAGCUACUUCGUGAACUAUGGGAUCGUGAUCCAGUUAAUCAGCCUCUAAAUCACAGUUGCCUCUUUAAUAAACAGUAGAUUAUAAGAAAACAGACAUUGUGAUGGCUUUAUGAGAUAAAUGCAUAGCACAUAAUAGAGUAUUUAGCCUAGAAUACAACACUGAAUAGAUAAUAGUUUCUUCCAUCUUUAUUUUCUUAGUUAACAUAAUUUUUAAAAUCUGUAAAAUCCUACCUGACUGCAGAUUCAUCAGAACUCCCACAAUCUAUUAAAGGAAAAGGUAAAAUGCAUUGUAAAUUAAUAAUGUAUAGAAUAUUAAAACCAUAAGAAAGCACAA